UGCACCGACGGCCGCUCCGCC
rnacentral:siRNA from 1 species